rnacentral:tRNA from 1 species
GGCUCAGUUGCUUAGUUGGUAAAGCGCUCGUUUAGCAUACUAAAGUCCUGCGUUCAAAUCCCUGCCGAGCUC